AACAGGGACACCAGUGGCGGCAAUGGCAGCAGCAGCAUGAUCUUGAGUAGAAUAAAUGUUGCAAGAGGACCAGGUAACUUCAGCACCCAAAGCAACCAAAGUUUCGAUGAGGACGGCGGUUUGGAUGGUCAUGUGAAGGCAACCAGCAAUACGGGCUCCCUUCAAAGGCUGAGACUUGGCAUAUUUCUCGCGAACAGCGAU